rnacentral:rRNA from 1 species
GAUGAACGCUAGCUACAGGCUUAACACAUGCAAGUCGAGGGGCAGCGGGGUUGUAGCAAUACAACUGCCGGCGACCGGCGCACGGGUGCGUAACGCGUAUGCAACCUACCUUUAACAGGGGGGAUAACACUGAGAAAUUGGUACUAAUACCCCAUAAUAUCAUAGAAGGCAUCUUUUAUGGUUGAAAAUUCCGAUGGUUAGAGAUGGGCAUGCGUUGUAUUAGCUAGUUGGUGAGGUAACGGCUCACCAAGGCGACGAUACAUAGGGGGACUGAGAGGUUAACCCCCCACACUGGUACUGAGACACGGACCAGACUCCUACGGGAGGCAGCAGUGAGGAAUAUUGGUCAAUGGACGCAAGUCUGAACCAGCCAUGCCGCGUGCAGGAUGACGGCUCUAUGAGUUGUAAACUGCUUUUGUACUAGGGUAAACUCACCUACGUGUAGGUGACUGAAGUAUAGUACGAAUAAGGAU